GAGAAAGAGAGAGAUGGAUAGACAAAUAUAAAUGAAAUGCAGCUAAUUCAUCAAGAAAAUAGCAUAAAAUCCAUUUGCACCUCGUGAUCAAGAUCUCAAAUUAAAAUUACUAUAAUCAUUAUAAAAAUAUUUUUAAAACCACUUUUUUAAAAUUACCUCAUUAAAAAAUCUCGGGAUAAAAGUGGACGUUGGAGAAUGUAGCAAAGUAAGGAUGCAGAAAAAAACGAUGACAAAAAUGUACAUGUAUGUAUAAUUAUUUGUGUUUACUUGCAAAGUUAUGUUUGUCCUUUUGGAAUACGAGAAAUCGUUCAUGACAUAUUGGUGUUGGAAUUCCUAAUACUGAAAAUGGGAAUUAGAAAAGCUCUCUCCUUAUGAAAGCUGGAGUUUAAUAGACAGGAACAUGUACAGGAUGUUUAUACAAAAACAAUGUAAACAUCUGCAAUCUGCUCCUUUAAAGAAAAUUGAGUGAAAUCCCAUCUAAUACUGUUUCCUUUCUGUGACUUAUAAAAUGUUCUUUGUAGCUUCACGCCUGACUGUUUAGAUAUUCUCUUUAUGUAUGUAUUUAUAUAUAAAUAAGUCAGUACAUGCUGGGUUGUGCCCAGUGCUGGCCUUGCAGUGUGCCACACACACACACACACACACACGUACUGUCAUUGCAAAAGACAGGGGGGAAAAACACAGCGACACAGCCUCGGCGCCUGGCAUCGUUUGCAAUAAUGUGUCGCAUCCCCUCUAACAUUAUCCAAGAAUAUGAAUCGCUCUCCGUGGGAUCUUUGAUUGAACGUUGUAUCAUUUUCAACGAAUUUAGGUGAAUUCAGAUUAUUGUUAUUUGAAAUGUAAUAUUAAUGAUUUUGAAACAUUUUGAUGUAACUUAAAAAACAGUUUGAAGUGAGUUAUACACAGCAUUGUAUACACAGCACAGGACCAAUUUGAAGAUCUUCUUUAGGGCAAAACGUUACCCAAGAUUAUAGGCAAAAAGAUGUUUACACAUUUGGUUUAUUAAUCAGCUUUUAUAAAAAAAUAAGAUAUUGGCUCCCAGACUCUAGAGAAAAAAAAUCUAACUCAACCGCCCUUCCCAUAUAAUUCAAGCCGCCAAGUCCUGCAAAUUUUGGAAGUGCUGGAAAUAUUUGGAUUUUCAGUUUUUCAUAAUGAAUAAAUAAACCUAAUGAACUUCAAGUAAUUGUUAUCAUAUUUUAUUUUACAGCAUUGAAUUUGUUUCUGUGCCUGGAAUUCUAUCCCACCAUCUAAUCAAUAAUGAUGGAAAAAUAAGACUAUUUAAACAAUAUGAAAUCAUUUAUCUUUUCCUAGCCUUUGUAAAAAAAACGACCCAUACAAAAUAUUUACUGAGCUGCUAAAGCUCAAUUUUAUUGCCGAUAGUUUUGCAAAAUUUGUGACAGUGAAAAUUGCAGCAAGUUAUAUUUAUGUAUAAAUACCUAAGUUUAAUUUAUUAAGUUGUGGCAUAUUUUCAUUAUUGGACCACCUAAAGUUUAACUUUAGUUCUCUCGCUUCUACAUUGAUAACAAAACAAAUUGCAUUGGCUUGGCUUAAGUUAACAGGAAAGCUACUGGAUUGUGUGAUAAGUAGUUAACAAAUUAUUGCCAAAAAUAGGUGAAACAUAUCACCUAAUUUGGCUCUUAAAUCAGACCCAAAAUUGUAAUUUAGAAUGCAAAAUUAGAUCAUAUACUGUAUUUCGCCCAACUAACUCCUUUGUGAUUGGUUUGUUUUUGUUUCUAUGUCUAUGUAUCUGGCUCUGUAUCAUUCUGCCACUGUAAAAGGAUAUCAUAUUUAAUAAAAACGAAUUCAAAAUGA